UACGUAGGGGGCAAGCGUUGUCCGGAUUUACUGGGCGUAAAGAGCGUGUAGGCGGCCAUGUAGGUCCGUUGUGAAAACUCGAGGCUCAACCUCGAGACGCCGAUGGAAACCAUGUGGCUAGAGUCCGGAAGAGGAGAGUGGAAUUCCUGGUGUAGCGGUGAAAUGCGCAGAUAUCAGGAAGAACACCCGUGGCUAAGGCGGCUCUCUGGUACGGUACUGACGCUGAGGCGCGAAAGCGUGGGGAGCGAACAGG
rnacentral:rRNA from 1 species